rnacentral:misc_RNA from 1 species
UCGUAACAAGGUCUCCGUUGGUGAACCAGCGGAGGGAUCAUUACCGAGUUUACAACUCCCAAACCCCUGUGAACAUACCACUUGUUGCCUCGGCGGAUCAGCCCGCUCCCGGUAAAACGGGACGGCCCGCCAGAGGACCACUAAACUCUGUUUCUAUAUGUAACUUCUGAGUAAAACCAUAAAUAAAUCAAAACUUUCAACAACGGAUCUCUUGGUUCUGGCAUCGAUGAAGAACGCAGCAAAAUGCGAUAAGUAAUGUGAAUUGCAGAAUUCAGUGAAUCAUCGAAUCUUUGAACGCACAUUGCGCCCGCCAGUAUUCUGGCGGGCAUGCCUGUUCGAGCGUCAUUUCAACCCUCAAGCACAGCUUGGUGUUGGGACUCGCGUUAAUUCGCGUUCCCCAAAUUGAUUGGCGGUCACGUCGAGCUUCCAUAGCGUAGUAGUAAAACCCUCGUUACUGGUAAUCGUCGCGGCCACGCCGUUAAACCCCAACUUCUGAAUGUUGACCUCGGAUCAGGUAGGAAUACCCGCUGAACCUAAGCAUAUC